GACGAACGCUGGCGGCGUGCUUAACACAUGCAAGUCGAACGGAAAGGCCCUGCUUGCAGGGUACUCGAGUGGCGAACGGGUGAGUAACACGUGGGUGAUCUGCCCUGCACUUCGGGAUAAGCCUGGGAAACUGGGUCUAAUACCGGAUAGGAGCCAUUUUUAGUGUGAUGGUUGGAAAGUUUUUUUCGGUGUAGGAUGAGCUCGCGGCCUAUCAGCUUGUUGGUGGGGUAAUGGCCUACCAAGGCGGCGACGGGUAGCCGGCCUGGGAGGGUGGACGGCCACAUUGGGACUGAGAUACGGCCCAGACUCCUACGGGAGGCAGCAGGGGGGAAUAUUGCACAAUGGGCGCAAGCCUGAUGCAGCGACGCCGCGUGGGGGAUGACGGCCUUCGGGUUGGAAACUCCUUUCGCUAGGGACGAAGCUUUUUGUGACGGUACCUAGAUAAGAAGCACCGGCUAACUACGUG
rnacentral:rRNA from 1 species